GUUUGCUUCAGCAGAACAUAUACUAAAAUUUGAAAGAUACAGAGAAGAUUAGUAUGGCACCUAUAUAAGGAUGACACAUAAAUUUAUGAAAAAUCUCUACACUGUUUU